AGACCCGAAACCCGGUGAUCUAGCCAUGGGCAGGUUGAAGGUUGGGUAACACUAACUGGAGGACCGAACCGACUAAUGUUGAAAAAUUAGCGGAUGACCUGUGGCUGGGGGUGAAAGGCCAAUCAAACCGGGAGAUAGCUGGUUCUCCCCGAAAGCUAUUUAGGUAGCGCCUCGUGAAUUCAUCUCCGGGGGUAGAGCACUGUUUCGGCUAGGGGGCCAUCCCGGCUUACCAACCCGAUGCAAACUGCGAAUACCGGAGAAUGUUAUCACGGGAGACACACGGCGGGUGCUAACGUCCGUCGUGAAGAGGGAAACAACCCAGACCGCCAGCUAAGGUCCCAAAGUCAUGGUUAAGUGGGAAACGAUGUGGGAAGGCCCAGACAGCCAGGAUGUUGGCUUAGAAGCAGCCAUCAUUU
rnacentral:rRNA from 1 species